rnacentral:ncRNA from 1 species
ACAAAGGCUUUGAAAAGAAUAGUAACUCCGAUGGAAACUUGACAGAGAGCCCGGACGCUGAAAUAGGGCAGUGAAAAUCGUUGUGAAAAUGGUCUUGGAGCUGCAUACCGAGGGAAACUUAGGCUAUGACGGAUUCACCCGUUAACGUGAUACGGUAUAACGUUAUUAACGCGUACCGGAAGAGGCAGAACGCGCAAGCGGACUGCGAAUUAAGGUGGUAACACGGGAAAUCAACUCUCGUCCUUGUU